ensembl:rRNA 5S_rRNA 5S ribosomal RNA
AUCUACAGCCCUGCUACCCUGAACAAGCCCAAUCUCGUCUGAUCUUGGAAGCUUAGCAGGGUUGGGCCUGGUUAGUAUUUGGAUGUGGAACUACUAGGAAGACGAGGUGCUGUAGGCG